UAUACACAAACAGAGCUUCUUCUAGGUAAAAACUUCGCCACCACACCUUCUAACAACCUUUUGAAGAAUGUGACAUGUAAGGCCCUGAAGGCCUAGGACAUCCCCCAAGGCAGGCCAUCACUCCCUGGAGGACGGUAGAGCUGGUCCCCAAAGGUGUCACAUCCUGUGACAGAGGUACUCUCGGACCCUAGAAGGCCCGCAAGGCUCUUAGUGAAGGAAGGGGAAAGGAGAGAAGCCAACUGGGAAGAUGUGCUGACUAACUUCCCUGUGGCAGAUGAAUGAGUUCUCAGCACUAACAAACGGCUGUCGGAAAGGUGGAAGAAUGAAGGUAUUUAUUGAAUGCUUACUAUGUACCAGCCCUGUGCUAGGCAACAAGGAGGACUCCACCUGGCUGAAUCUAUUUCAAUUGCAACUGGAGGAUAAUAGUCACUAUCCUGCCAGUGUCACUGGGGUAUUGUGAAGAACCAAUGGGAUAACAAUAAUGUGCUUGGGAGAACUUCUUAACUAUAAAGUGCCAUAGAAACAAAUGUAAGGGAUUAUCAUCAGGAUGCAAAAAA